UACGUAGGGUGCAAGCGUUGUCCGGAAUUAUUGGGCGUAAAGAGCUCGUAGGCGGUCUGUCGCGUCGGCUGUGAAAACCUGGGGCUCAACUCCGGGCCUGCAGCCGAUACGGGCAGACUAGAAUUCGGUAGGGGAGACUGGAAUUCCUGGUGUAGCGGUGAAAUGCGCAGAUAUCAGGAGGAACACCAAUAGCGAAGGCAGCUCGCUGGGACGUUACUGACACUGAGGAGCGAAAGCGUGGGGAGCAAACAGG
rnacentral:rRNA from 1 species